CCUACGGGGGGCUGCAGUGGGGAAUAUUGGACAAUGGGGGGAACCCUGAUCCAGCCAUGCCGCGUGUGUGAAGAAGGCCCUCGGGUUGUAAAGCACUUUCAGUGAGGAAGAACGCCUGGUGGUUAAUACCCAUCAGGAAAGACAUCACUCACAGAAGAAGCACCGGCUAACUCCGUGCCAGCAGCCGCGGUAAUACGGAGGGUGCGAGCGUUAAUCGGAAUUACUGGGCGUAAAGCGCGCGUAGGUGGCUUGAUAAGCCGGUUGUGAAAGCCCCGGGCUCAACCUGGGAACGGCAUCCGGAACUGUCAAGCUAGAGUGCAGGAGAGGAAGGUAGAAUUCCCGGUGUAGCGGUGAAAUGCGUAGAGAUCGGGAGGAAUACCAGUGGCGAAGGCGGCCUUCUGGACUGACACUGACACUGAGGUGCGAAAGCGUGGAUAGCAAACAGGAUUAGAUACCCUAGUAGUC
rnacentral:rRNA from 1 species